rnacentral:rRNA from 1 species
AGCCGUGUGGCGUAUGCGUAGCGAAAGCGAGUCUUAAAAGGCGUUUGUAGUCGCUUGUCCUGGACCCGAAGCGGGAUGAUCUAGCCCUGGGCAGGUUGAAGCGCGGGUAAGACCGCGUGGAGGACCGAACCCACCUGGGUUGAAAACCGGGGGGAUGACCUGGGGCUAGGGGUGAAAGGCCAAUCAAAUUCCGUGAUAGCUGGUUCUCUCCGAAAUGCAUUUAGGUGCAGCGUCGGUCGAUUGCGUCGCGGGGGUAGAGCUACCGGAUGCUUGCGGGCCCUUGUUGGGUACCAACAGCAGCCGAACUCCGAAUACCGUUGACGUGUAUUCCGGCAGUGAGUCGGCGGGGGAUAAGCUCCGUCGUCGAGAGGGAGACAGCCCAGACCGUCGUCUAAGGUCCCGAAGCGUGUGCUAAGUGGGAAAGGAUGUGGAGUCGCAUAGACAGCCAGGAGGUUGGCUCAGAAGCAGCCAUCCUUGAAAGAGUGCGUAACAGCUCACUGGUCUAGUGGUUCCGCGCCGACAAUGUAGCGGGGCUCAAGCACACCACCGAAGACGCGGCAACAGUUUUUUGCUGUUGGGUAGGAGAGCGUCCCCCGAGGGGCGAAGCGGCCGCGCAAGCGCGCCGUGGACUUCGGGGGAGUGAGAAUGCAGACAUGAGUAGCGAGAGACGGGUGAGGAUCCCGUCCGCUGGAUGACCAAGGGUUCCGGGGCCACGUUCGUCGUCCCCGGGUGAG